CCUACGGGAGGCAGCAGUGGGGAAUAUUGCACAAUGGGCGCAAGCCUGAUGCAGCGACGCCGCGUGAGGGAUGACGGCCUUCGGGUUGUAAACCUCUUUCAGUAGGGAAGAAGCGAAAGUGACGGUACCUGCAGAAGAAGCGCCGGCUAACUACGUGCCAGCAGCCGCGGUAAUACGUAGGGCGCAAGCGUUAUCCGGAAUUAUUGGGCGUAAAGAGCUCGUAGGCGGUUUGUCGCGUCUGCCGUGAAAGUCCGGGGCUCAACUCCGGAUCUGCGGUGGGUACGGGCAGACUAGAGUGAUGUAGGGGAGACUGGAAUUCCUGGUGUAGCGGUGAAAUGCGCAGAUAUCAGGAGGAACACCGAUGGCGAAGGCAGGUCUCUGGGCAUUAACUGACGCUGAGGAGCGAAAGCAUGGGGAGCGAACAGGAUUAGAUACCCUGGUAGUCCAUGCCGUAAACGUUGGGCACUAGGUGUGGGGGACAUUCCACGUUUUCCGCGCCGUAGCUAACGCAUUAAGUGCCCCGCCGUCGGAGGUACGGCCGCGACGACGUAAACUACAAGAAGUAGUAGCGNGNGAGAGCGACGACGACGACGAGGAGGAGG
rnacentral:rRNA from 1 species